UAAACACAGUCAUGGUGCUGUUUGUCCAUCUUGAGUUUUAUUAAAUCUUCCUCCACCCUUCUCCCUGUCUGUCCAGUUGUUUCCAUGGUAGCAUAUUUUAAGGUUAUCUGUGUCUUACAUAAAGACUGUUUCCACUUAUCUUUUCAUUUGUUGAUAACUCAGACAUCUGGGUAUCUUAUUGAAUUGUCUUUGUGACCGCAUUGUAAAUUUUUGUGUCAGACUGAGGGAGAGGAAGAUAUUUUUGAGUGGAAAUACAAUUAGACCUUCAGAUCAGUGAGACAGUGUAACUGUUUAGAAAAGAUUUUCUUUUUGCUGAAGCCUCAUUUAAACAAUGGUUGUGACUGUAACUUUGUUUCUAGUGUACUAUCAUAUUGCCACACCCUUUUUUCUGUACAUAGUUUUUUCAGAAAUUGUAAUGAAGAAAAUGCUUUCUUUGUAAUUGUGAGUCAGUGUGACGUUUUUGGUGCAUACUCUUUUGACACCAGUAUGUAAGUACAUACAAAUACAUUUUUAUAAAUAACAAACCUGUAUAUUCUCUCUGAUUCUUGAACAGUAAUGCUAGCACCUCAGUAAAGCACAGUCUUCUGACACUUGGGACAUAACUAAGGG